rnacentral:tRNA from 1 species
CUGACCCUACUAGAAGGUAAUAUAGGGGAAGUAUGAAGAGUUUUGAUCUCUUUUGUAUGGGUUCGACUCCCA